rnacentral:rRNA from 1 species
GAUGAACGCUGGCGGCGUGCCUAAUACAUGCAAGUCGAGCGAACGGACGAGAAGCUUGCUUCUCUGCUGUUAGCGGCGGACGGGUGAGUAACACUUGGAUAACCUACCUAUAAGACUGGGAUAACUUCGGGAAACCGGAGCUAAUACCGGAUAAUAUUUUGAACCGCAUGGUUCAAAAGUGAAAGACGGUCUUGCUGUCACUUAUAGAUGGUUCCGCGCUGCAUUAGCUAGUUGGUAAGGUAACGGCUUACCAAGGCAACGAUGCAUAGCCGACCUGAGAGGGUGAUCGGCCACACUGGAACUGAGACACGGUCCAGACUCCUACGGGAGGCAGCAGUAGGGAAUCUUCCGCAAUGGGCGAAAGCCUGACGGAGCAACGCCGCGUGAGUGAUGAAGGUCUUCGGAUCGUAAAACUCUGUUAUUAGGGAAGAACAUAUGUGUAAGUAACUGUGCACAUCUUGACGGUACCUAAUCAGAAAGCCACGGCUAACUACGUG